GAAUCCAGAGAUGGAUUUGUGCCUUCGGGAACUGUGAGACAGGUGCUGCAUGGCUGUCGUCAGCUCGUGUUGUGAAAUGUUGGGUUAAGUCCCGCAACGAGCGCAACCCUUAUCCUUUGUUGCCAGCGGUUAGGCCGGGAACUCAAAGGAGACUGCCAGUGAUAAACUGGAGGAAGGUGGGGAUGACGUCAAGUCAUCAUGGCCCUUACGACCAGGGCUACACACGUGCUACAAUGGCGCAUACAAAGAGAAGCGACCUCGCGAGAGCAAGCGGACCUCAUAAAGUGCGUCGUAGUCCGGAUUGGAGUCUGCAACUCGACUCCAUGAAGUCGGAAUCGCUAGUAAUCGUGGAUCAGAAUGCCACGGUGAAUACGUUCCCGGGCCUUGUACACACCGCCCGUCACACCAUGGGAGUGGGUUGCAAAAGAAGUAGGUAGCUUAACCUUCGGGAGGGCGCUUACCACUUUGUGAUUCAUGACUGGGGUGAAGUCGUAACAAGGUAACCGUAGGGGAACCUGCGGUUGGAUCACCUCCUUACCUUAAAGAA
rnacentral:rRNA from 3 species